rnacentral:rRNA from 1 species
AUUGAACGCUGGCGGCAGGCCUAACACAUGCAAGUCGAGCGGAUGAAGGGAGCUUGCUCCUGGAUUCAGCGGCGGACGGGUGAGUAAUGCCUAGGAAUCUGCCUGGUAGUGGGGUAUAACGUCCGGAAACGGGCGCUAAUACCGCAUACGUCCUGAGGGAGAAAGUGGGGGAUCUUCGGACCUCACGCUAUCAGAUGAGCCUAGGUCGGAUUAGCUAGUUGGUGGGGUAAAGGCCUACCAAGGCGACGAUCCGUAACUGGUCUGAGAGGAUGAUCAGUCACACUGGAACUGAGACACGGUCCAGACUCCUACGGGAGGCAGCAGUGGGGAAUAUUGGACAAUGGGCGAAAGCCUGAUCCAGCCAUGCCGCGUGUGUGAAGAAGGUCUUCGGAUUGUAAAGCACUUUAAGUUGGGAGGAAGGGCAGUAAGUUAAUACCUUGCUGUUUUGACGUUACCCACAGAAUAAGCACCGGCUAACUUCGUG